rnacentral:rRNA from 1 species
UACGAAGGGGGGCUAGCGUUGCUCGGAAUCACUGGGCGUAAAGGGUGCGUAGGCGGGUCUUUAAGUCAGGGGUGAAAUCCCGGAGCUCAACUUCGGAACUGCCUUUGAUACAGCACGUCUUGAGUCCGAUAGAGGUGGGUGGAAUUCCUAGUGUAGAGGUGAAAUUCGUAGAUAUUAGGAAGAACACCGGUGGCGAAGGCGGCCCACUGGAUCGGUACUGACGCUGAGGUGCGAAAGCGUGGGGAGCAAACAGG